CGAUCGGUCACACUGGGACUGAGACACUGCCCAGACUCCUACGGGAGGCUGCAGUCGAGAAUCUUCCGCAAUGGGCGAAAGCCUGACGGAGCGACACCGCGUGCAGGAUGAAGGCCUUCGGGUUGUAAACUGCUGUCACGCUAUAGGAAAGCCAUGUCGUUAAUAGCUGCAUGGUUGACCAAAGCGAGAGGAAGCACCGGCUAACUCCGUGCCAGCAGCCGCGGUAAGACGGAGGGUGCGAACGUUGUUCGGAAUCACUGGGCAUAAAGCGCACGUAGGCGGCUUGGUCAGUCAGAUGUGAAAGCCCCCGGCUCAACCGGGGAACUGCGUCUGAUACUGCCUGGCUCGAGGACGGUUGGGGUGAGUGGAACUCCUGGUGGAGCGGUGAAAUGCGUAGAUAUCAGGAGGAACACCAGUGGCGAAAGCGACUCACUGGACCGUUUCUGACGCUGAGGUGCGAAAGCUAGGGGAGCGAACGGGAUUAGAUACCCCGGUAGUCCUAGCCGUAAACGAUGGGCACUAGGUAGGGGGAAUACCUAUGGUUUUCCCUGCCGUAGCAAAUGUGUUAAGUGCCCCGCCUGGGGAGUACGCUCGCAAGGGUAAAACUCAAAGGAAUUGACGGGGGCUCACACAAGCGGUGGAGCAUGUGGAUUAAUUCGAAGCAACGCGAAGAACCUUACCUGGCCUUGACAUCCACGGAUUAACUCCCUGAAAGGGGAGCAACAACUCUUCGGAGUCGGAACGUGGACAGGUGUUGCAUGGCUGUCGUCAGCUCGUGUCGUGAGAUGUUGGGUUAAGUCCCGUAACGAGCGCAACCCUUGUCGCUAGUUGCCAGCGCGUAAUGGCGGGGACUCUAGCGAGACUGCCGGUGUCAAACCGGAGGAAGGUGGGGACGACGUCAAGUCAUCAUGGCCCUUAUGGCCAGGGCGUCACACGUGCUACAAUGGUCUGUACAGAGGGUUCCAAGACCGUGAGGUGGAGGCAAUCCCACAAAGCAGGCCCCAGUUCGGAUUGCAGGCUGCAAUUCGCCUGCAUGAAGCCGGAAUCGCUAGUAAUCGCGUAUCAGCCAUGACGCGGUGAAUAUGUUCCUGAGCCUUGUACACACUGCCCGUCAAGCCACGAAAGCGGGGAGCGCUCGAAGUCGCUCUGUCUAACCUUCGGGAGGACGGCGCCGAAAGCGAGUUCCGUGAUUGGGACUAAGUCGUAACAAGGUA
rnacentral:rRNA from 1 species